rnacentral:rRNA from 1 species
UACGUAGGGGGCAAGCGUUGUCCGGAAUCAUUGGGCGUAAAGAGCGUGUAGGCGGUCCGGUCAGUCGGUUGUGAAAGUCAAGGGCUCAACCCUUGAAUGCCGGCCGAUACUGCCGGGCUAGAGUCCGGAAGAGGUGAGUGGAAUUCCGAGUGUAGAGGUGAAAUUCGUAGAUAUUCGGAAGAACACCAGUGGCGAAGGCGGCUCACUGGACCGGUAUUGACGCUGAGGUGCGAAAGCGUGGGGAGCAAACAGG